CUUCCUGGCUUUGCCGUGAGAAUCAGAGGGUGUCUGUCUCUUUACUCCCCUCCUCUCCAAGCAGCAGGAAAGAAACAGCUUGUGGAGUUAAAACAGCUAUCUUUACUUAUUUAAGCUGCCAUCGACAACUUUAAGAAGGUCAAGUAGGAGGAUCCGCAGGAGAGGAACAAGUCUAGCCACAGUGUGAACACCCCUAAUGUCCAUUUACAACACAUUUAACAUCAAACUGUGGAGUUUCUGUGAUAACUACCAUUCAGAGACCGUUCCCUUCUUCCGAGGACUGAGUCUUCCAGCGGAUUCCUGGCGGACACGUGGGUUACUCAGGAACGACCCGAGACAGAAAGAAAAGAAAAUGUAAACAGUGAAUUACUGGAACAAAGCCCUGACUCAAGUACACCAAUACGCCAUCACGAGUAAUAUUGCCCAUAGAAUAGAAACGCAAAGAAAAAGCAAAAAUGAUAGUAUGUUGUUCCAAAAAUGAGAAUACAGUUUAAACUAUGAAUGCAUGUAAAAUGUUCAUAGAAUUUAUAAAUACAAAAGCAAGAAUUAUAAUAUAGUCCGAAUUGAUUAAUAUGCUGCUUAGUAAUUAUAAUGAUGGUGACCUUCCCCGGGGGCCCAUGACAGCCCUGGCUGUGGGUCAUCUACGCAUGUCCUACCAGUGAUUCUAUAGAAUCCCUAGAGAACAUAUGAAUUGUUUGACUUUUCUCAAUAGUUCACACAUCCUCUGGCCAAUUUGAGUGAUUCUAUACAGUCACUAGCGAUUCUAUACAAUCACUGAUUUCACACUUUCACUGUAACAUAUACAUCAUACAGGGUCCUCUACAUUACCUUCAACAGUAACUUCAACGAGGAGAAUGCAGGAGUAUUAUGAAGGAAACGUGCUGCUAUAAAACAGUCCUAAAACAUUUUCUAUUUCAUUUAAAAUGACAAGCAUAAGCAAUGACUUCUUCAGGGAUACAAAACACAGUAUCUUAGAAUGCUGCUCCUCGGAAGUUAAAUGGUUCCACAGUUGCUAAGGGCAGGUUUUUGGGAGAAGAGAGAAGAGGGGGAUUCUACCCAUAUCUAAUCUGUACCAUAAUCUGUUCAAUGGAAUCAAGCACAGCACUAUUGCACAGCAGUUUCGCCCAGGUUUUACUACGAACUUGAUUAGUGUGCAUAGGUAACAAGCUCAGGUGUGUCUUAUUAAACUCAUAGCAAAAACCCAUCACAACCUAGAACAAUCUCCUACAAUGCACCCUGCUUCCACACCUUGAAAAUGACAUGCCCAGGCAUGUCCUUGCUACAGCUAUAUGUUCAGGCAUGUCAUAGCUGGUGCAGUCAGAAUCGCUACAUGGAAUCACCAGUGGGUGCUCACCUUCUGUUGCAUCAGAGUAACAACAUGGGCAGUGCCGUGGUAUGGUUUACGGGCCUGAUUUACCAUGUUUUAUUUGCGCCACUGUAAAAUUUGCUCCAUUUUGUGUUCAAAAUGAACUUAACAAAAACGGUUUGUGUUUUAUUUUCAACUCCAUCAGCACCUAUCUGUAAAACGUCAUCUCUUCUUGCUCCAGUAUCAACCUGGUCCUGCCUUCUGCUGUUCCAAUCUAGGGUUGCCACCUUUGAGGUACAAAAAAUAAAAAACUGGACCUCUGAAAGGAAGGGGGGGUGGGGCUGUUACAAGUUUAAACUCUCUUUAGAAAUCCUCUAUUCAUGCAAUAGGAUGAUAAUAUUACUAUUAUAGUAUUGACAAUCAAUUAAUAUUGUGUGUCUAUUGCACUAAUACUGUAUACUAGCUGUAUUAAGUGAUCCUAUCUGUUGCCUUCUCUCUGCAGUUUUUCUUGGUCAUCGCUAAAGCUGAAUGACCAGAUACUUGACACACACACACGCACACACAGUGUCUCAUCAAGCAAUAUUAAAUAUUAUGACGAUAAGGAUGUUCUUUGUUAAAUAUCUGAAUUUGUUAUCUGAAUCCUAUUUCACACCUGACAGAAGUUAAGCGAUAACCAAUAUGAACAAUUGUGCCUGUGACACUUGGGAUAUUUGGGACACCUUUUAUAUAAAAAUAACAAACAGCACUAUGUCCAAAAGAUAAUCUGGAUCCAACAGGAUACUCAACAAUCAAUAGAAAUAUUAUUAUUAUAGUAUUGUAAUAAUUACCUACUUAUAAUUACUGUACGUAAGUAACUAAUUAUUAAAGCAGUACAGACACUAAAGAGGGUCCUCAUAUUAGUGUAACAAUCGCACAUUACAUGAAAGAUAUUUGUAUAAAAUCCAGUGUUUUUAUUGCCAAGUCUAGAGGAGGCUCAGAGCGUAUGGAAAGACAGACAGAAAGAAGGGCCCUGAAUAGUUAAUUAUCUGUUUUACUGCCUAUUACUCUUCAUCUGAGUAUUUCUUCUCUUAUAAUUAUUAUUAUAUAUUUUUUUUAAGUAAUUAAAUUUAGGUAGAUUAAAGGGCUGUAAUCUAGCCUACAAAAAUAAAUAAAUAUUCU